rnacentral:rRNA from 1 species
UGGGGAAUUUUGGACAAUGGGCGAAAGCCUGAUCCAGCAAUGCCGCGUGUGUGAAGAAGGCCUUCGGGUUGCAAAGCACUUUUGUCCGGAAAGAAAUCCUUGGCUCUAAUACAGUCGGGGGAUGACGGUACCGGAAGAAUAAGCACCGGCUAACUACGUGCCAGCAGCCGGGGUAAUACGUAGGGUGCAAGCGUUAAUCGGAAUUACUGGGCGUAAAGCGUGCGCAGGCGGUUUGCUAAGACCGAUGUGAAAUCCCCGGGCUCAACCUGGGAACUGCAUUGGUGACUGGCAGGCUAGAGUAUGGCAGAGGGGGGUAGAAUUCCACGUGUAGCAGUGAAAUGCGUAGAGAUGUGGAGGAAUACCGAUGGCGAAGGCAGCCCCCUGGGCCAAAUACUGACGCUCAUGCACGAAAGCGUGGGGAGCAAACAGGAUUAGAUACCCUGGUAGUCCACGCCCUAAACGAUGUCAACUAGUUGUUGGGGAUUCAAUUUCCUUAGUAACGUAGCUAACGCGUGAAGUUGACCGCCUGGGGAGUACGGUCGCAAGAUUAAAACUCAAAGGAAUUGACGGGGUCAUAGCUGUUUCCU